CCUACGGGCGGCUGCAGUGGGGAAUAUUGGACAAUGGGGGCAACCCUGAUCCAGCCAUGCCGCGUGUGUGAAGAAGGCCCUCGGGUUGUAAAGCACUUUCAGUGAGGAAGAACGCCUGGUGGUUAAUACCCAUCAGGAAAGACAUCACUCACAGAAGAAGCACCGGCUAACGCCGUGCCAGCAGCCGCGGUAAUACGGAGGGUGCGAGCGUUAAUCGGAAUUACUGGGCGUAAAGCGCGCGUAGGUGGCUUGAUAAGCCGGUUGUGAAGGCCCCGGGCUCAACCUGGGAACGGCAUCCGGAACUGUCAAGCUAGAGUGCAGGAGAGGAAGGUAGAAUUCCCGGUGUAGCGGUGAAAUGCGUAGAGAUCGGGAGGAAUACCAGUGGCGAAGGCGGCCUUCUGGACUGACACUGACACUGAGGUGCGAAAGCGUGGGUAGCAAACAGGAUUAGAUACCCUUGUAGUC
rnacentral:rRNA from 1 species